rnacentral:rRNA from 1 species
AUUGAACGCUGGCGGCAGGCCUAACACAUGCAAGUCGAGCGGAUGGAGGGAGCUUGCUCCUGGAUUCAGCGGCGGACGGGUGAGUAAUGCCUAGGAAUCUGCCUGGUCGUGGGGGAUCACGUCCGGAAACGGGCGCUAAUACCGCAUACGUCCUGAGGGAGAAAGUGGGGGAGCUUCGGACCUCACGCUAUCAGAUGAGCCUAGGUGGGAUUAGCUAGUUGGUGGGGUAAAGGCCUACCAAGGCGACGAUCCGUAACUGGUCUGAGAGGAUGAUCAGGCACAUUGGCACUGAGACACGGCCCAGACUCCUACGGUAGGCAGCAGUGCGGAAUAUUGGGCGAUGGGCGAAAGCCUGAUCCAGCCAUGCCGCGUGUGUGAAGAAGGUCUUCGGAUUGUAAAGCACUUUAAGUUGGGAGGAAGGGCAGUAAGUUAAUACCUUGCUGUUUUGACGGUACCAACAGAAUAAGCACCGGCUAACUUCGUG